AUUGAACGCUGGCGGCAUGCUUUACACAUGCAAGUCGAACGGUAACAGGUCUUCGGCUGCUGACGAGUGGCGAACGGGUGAGUAAUACAUCGGAACGUGCCUAGUAGUGGGGGAUAACUACUCGAAAGAGUAGCUAAUACCGCAUGAGAUCUACGGAUGAAAGCAGGGGACCUUCGGGCCUUGUGCUACUAGAGCGGCUGAUGGCAGAUUAGUUAGUUGGUGGGGUAAAGGCUUACCAAGCCUGCGAUCUGUAGCUGGUCUGAGAGGACGACCAGCCACACUGGGACUGAGACACGGCCCAGACUCCUACGGGAGGCAGCAGUGGGGAAUUUUGGACAAUGGGCGAAAGCCUGAUCCAGCAAUGCCGCGUGAAGGAUGAAGGCCCUCGGGUUGUAAACUGCUUUUGUACGGAACGAAAAGCCUGGGGCUAAUAUCCCCGGGUCAUGACGGUACCGUAAGAAUAAGCACCGGCUAACUACGUG
rnacentral:rRNA from 1 species